CCUACGGGGCGCAGCAGUGAGGAAUAUUGGUCAAUGGGCGUAAGCCUGAACCAGCCAAGUCGCGUGAGGGAUGAAGGUUCUAUGGAUCGUAAACCUCUUUUAUAAGGGAAUAAAGUGUGGGACGUGUCCUGUUUUGUAUGUACCUUAUGAAUAAGGAUCGGCUAACUCCGUGCCAGCAGCCGCGGUAAUACGGAGGAUCCGAGCGUUAUCCGGAUUUAUUGGGUUUAAAGGGUGCGUAGGCGGCCUUUUAAGUCAGCGGUGAAAGUCUGUGGCUCAACCAUAGAAUUGCCGUUGAAACUGGGAGGCUUGAGUAUGUUUGAGGCAGGCGGAAUGCGUGGUGUAGCGGUGAAAUGCUUAGAUAUCACGCAGAACCCCGAUUGCGAAGGCAGCCUGCCAAGCCAUGACUGACGCUGAUGCACGAAAGCGUGGGGAUCAAACAGGAUUAGAUACACGGGUAGUC
rnacentral:rRNA from 1 species